AGGGUUUGAUCCUGGCUCAGGAUGAACGCUGGCGGCGUGUCUAAGGCAUGCAAGUCAAACGAAUCCUUUUUAGGAUAAAGUGGCAAACGGGUGAGUAACACAUUAAUAAUCUACCCUUGAGACGAGGAUAACUUUGUGAAAACAAAGCUAAUACUCGAUGGUCUCAAACUCUUUGAAGGGGUUUGACUAAAGCUUUUACGCUCAAGGAGGAGUUUAUGGCUCAUCAGGUAGUUGGUAAGGUAAAGGCUUACCAAGCCAAUGACGAGUAGCGGGUGUUAGAGCACUGCCCGCCUCAUUGGAACUGAGACACUGUCCAACCUCCUACGGGAGGCUGCAGUUAAGGAUCUUCCUCAAUGGCCGAAAGGCUGAAGGAGCGACGCCGCGUGCAUGAAGACGCUCUUCGGAGUGUAAAGUGCUUUUCUGAAGGAAAAAGCUUUUUAGUUGAUGGUACUUCAGGAAUAAGCCGCCGCUAACUUCGUGCCAGCAGCUGCGGUAAUACGGAGGCGGCAAGCGUUAUCCGGACUCACUGGGCAUAAAGGGUACGUAGGCGGUUUAGCAAGUUUUUGGUUAAAGCCUUUUGCUUAACAUUAGGACUGCCAAGAAAACUGCUAAACUAGAGGCCGGAAGAGGUAAGCGGAACUGCCGGUGUAGGGGUUAAAUCCGUUAAUAUCGGCAGGAACACCAAAGGCGAAGGCAGCUUACUAGAACGGACCUGACGCUGAGGUACGAAAGCAUGGGGAGCGAAGAGGAUUAGAUACCCUCGUAGUCCAUGCCGUAAACAUUGGAUGUUGGGCAUUGGAAGUGUCGACCCUUUCAGUGUCGCAUAUAAAAGUUAAUACGUUAAGCAUCCCGCCUGGGAACUACGGCCGCAAGGCUAAAACUCAAAGGAAUAGACGGGAGCUCGCACAAGCGGUGGACCAUGUGGUUUAAUUCGACGCUAAGCGAGGAACCUUACCAGGGCUUGACAUGCUAGGAUGUAGGUUUGCCGAAACGUGGACCGAUCCUUUUAGGAAACCUAGUACAGGUGCUGCAUGGUUGUCGUCAGCUCGUGUUGUGAAAUGUUCCGUUAAGUCGGGAAACGAGCGCAACCCUUGUCCUUAGUUACCAGCGGUUUAAGCCGGGGACUCUAGGGAGACUGCCAGUGAUAAACUGGAGGAAGGUGAGGAUGACGUCAAAUCAGCAUGGCCCUUAUGCUCUGGGCUACACACAUGGUACAAUGGCCGAUACAAUGGGUCGCCAAAUCGUAAGAUGGAGCUAAUCCCAUUAAAGUCGGUCCCAGUUCGGAUUGAGGUCUGCAAUUCGACCUCAUGAAGUCGGAAUCGCUAGUAACCGUAUAUCAUCAAUGGUACGGUGAAUACGUUCUCGAGCUUUGUACUCACUGCCCGUCACGCCAAGGAAGCCGGUAAUACCCGAAAGCCCACGCUAGUGGGAAUAAGGUAGGACUGGUAACAGGGGCGAAGUCGUAACAAGGUAGCCGAAG
rnacentral:rRNA from 1 species